CUCCCAGGGAGGAGGUGGGCAUACUCAGAUAUGUCCCUCAGGGAGGAGGUGGACACACUCAGGUGUGUCCCCCAGGGAGGAGGUGGGCACGCUCAGGUGUGUCCCCCGGGGAGGAGGUGGGCACCCUCAGGUAUGUCCCCCGGGGAGGAGGUGGGCAUACUUAGGCGUGUCCCCCAGGGAGGAGGUGGGCAUACUUAGGCGUGUCCCCCGGGGAGGAGGUGGGCAUACUUAGGCGUGUCCCCCGGGGAGGAGGUGGACAUACUUAGGCGUGUCCCCCGGGGAGGAGGUGGGCAUGCUCAGGCGUGUCCCCUGGGGAGGGGGUGGACAUGCUCAGGUGUGUCCCUCAGCAGUGAGGCGUGCAUGCUCAGAUGUGCCCUCUCCAGAGGAGGGGAGUGUGGGAGACACGUCCACUGCUGGCCUCCUGUCCCCUCGUUCCAGCCUGAGGCCUUCUCUGGGCGCUCCCCUGUUGGUGACUGGAAUUAACUUGCUCCUCUGCUGCCUUCCUGUAAGGGCUUUUU